rnacentral:rRNA from 1 species
AUUGAACGCUGGCGGCAGGCCUAACACAUGCAAGUCGAACGAGCGGCGGACGGGUGAGUAAUGUCUGGGAAACUGCCUGAUGGAGGGGGAUAACUACUGGAAACGGUAGCUAAUACCGCAUACCAUCGGAUGUGCCCAGAUGGGAUUAGCUAGUAGGUGGGGUAAAGGCUCACCUAGGCGACGAUCCCUAGCUGGUCUGAGAGGAUGACCAGCCACACUGGAACUGAGGCACGGUCCAGACUCCUACGAGAGGCAGCAGUGGGGAAUAUUGUACAAUGGGCGCAAGCCUGAUGCAGCCAUGCCGCGUGUGUGAAGAAGGCCUUGGGGUUGUAAAGGACUUUCAGCGGGGAGGCGUUACCCGCAGAAGAAGCACCGGCUAACUCCGUGCCAGCAGCCGCGGUAAUUC